rnacentral:rRNA from 1 species
GACGAACGCUGGCGGCGUGCUUAACACAUGCAAGUCGAACGGAAAGGCCCUGCUUUUGUGGGGUGCUCGAGUGGCGAACGGGUGAGUAACACGUGAGUAACCUGCCCUUGACUUUGGGAUAACUUCAGGAAACUGGGGCUAAUACCGGAUAGGAUCUCCUGCUGCAUGGUGGGGGUUGGAAAGUUUCGGCGGUUGGGGAUGGACUCGCGGCUUAUCAGCUUGUUGGUGGGGUAGUGGCUUACCAAGGCUUUGACGGGUCGCCGGCCUGGGAGGGUGGACGGCCACCAUGGGACUGAGAGACGGCCCAGACGCCUACGGGAGGCAGCAGGGGGGAAUAUUGCACAAUGGGAGGAAGCCUGAGGCAGAAACGCCGCGGGCGGGAUGACGGCCUUCGGGGUGUAAACCGCUUUCGCCUGUGACGAAGCGUGAGUGACGGUAAUGGGUAAAGAAGCACCGGCUAACUACGUG